rnacentral:rRNA from 1 species
UACGUAGGGACCAAGCGUUGUUCGGAUUUACUGGGCGUAAAGGGCGCGUAGGCGGCAUGACAAGUCACUUGUGAAAUCUCUGGGCUUAACUCAGAACGGCCAGGUGAUACUGUCGCGCUAGAGUGCAGAAAGGGCAAUCGGAAUUCUUGGUGUAGCGGUGAAAUGCGUAGAUAUCAAGAGGAACACCUGAGGCGAAGGCGGGUUGCUAGGCUGACACUGACGCUGAUGCGCGAAAGCCAGGGGAGCAAACGGG